rnacentral:rRNA from 1 species
GGAAUUGACGGAAGGGCACCACCAGGGGUGGAGCCUGCGGCUUAAUUUGACUCAACACGGGGAAACUCACCAGGUCCAGACACGAUGAGGAUUGACAGAUUGAGAGCUCUUUCUUGAUUUCGUGGGUGGUGGUGCAUGGCCGUUCUUAGUUGGUGGAGUGAUUUGUCUGCUUAAUUGCGAUAACGAACGAGACCUUAACCUGCUAAAUAGCCCGUAUUGCUUUGGCAGUACGCCGGCUCUAGAGGACUAUUAGGGUGAACCUGCGGAGGGAUCAUUACAGAGUUGCAAAACUCCCUAAACCAUCGCGACGUUACCCCAAAAUCGUUGCUUCGGCGGGCGGCGCCUCUCCCGGCGCCCCCUGCCAGGGGCCCUAACGGGCGUCCGCCGGAGGCCUAUAACCCUUGUAUUAUUUCACGGCUUCUCUGAGUUUAUACUUAAAUAAGUCAAAACUUUCAACAACGGAUCUCUUGGUUCUGGCAUCGAUGAAGAACGCAGCGAAAUGCGAUAAGUAAUGUGAAUUGCAGAAUUCAGUGAAUCAUCGAAUCUUUGAACGCACAUUGCGCCCCCCAGUAUUCUGGAGGGCAUGCCUGUUCGAGCGUCAUUUCAACCAUCAAGCCCCGGGCUUGUGUUGGGGACCUGCGGCUGCCGCAGGCCCCGAAAAGCAGUGGCGGGCUCGCUGUCACACCGAGCGUAGUAGCAAUCACCUCGCUCAGGGCGUGCUGCGGGUGCCGGCCGUUAAACCCCCUUAACUCUAAGGUGACCUCGGAUCAGGUAGGAGUACCCGCUGAACUUAAGCAUAUCAAUAAGCGGAGG